rnacentral:rRNA from 1 species
UAAGAGACGACAAGGUUUUCGUAGUGACCUGCGGAGGAUCAUUAAUGAAAAUGUGUUGCCGGGGCCCAUAAUCCCGGCACUAACCUUCUUAUCCAUAACACCUGUGCACUGUUGGAUGCUUGCAUCCACUUUUAUACUAAACAAUUUGUAACAAAUGUAGUCUUAUUAUAAUUAAUAAAGCUUUUAACAACGGAUCUCUUGGCUCUCGCAUCGAUGAAGAACGCAGCGAAAUGCGAUAAGUAAUGUGAAUUGCAGAAUUCAGUGAAUCAUCGAAUCUUUGAACGCACCUUGCGCUCCUUGUAUUCCGAGGAGCAUGCCUGUUUGAGUGUCAUAAACCUCUCAAACCCAAGUUUUGGAUUUAUCCUUGCUUGAGUUUGGAUUUGGGUGUUUGCCAGUGAUGAACUGACUCACCUUAAAAGUAUUAGCUAGAUCUGUCUUUGACUGGUUUGACUUGGCAUAAUAAGUAUUUUGCUAAGGACAUCUUCGGAUGGCCAGGGCUUGACUUUUGUCUGCUUACUAAACCUUACUUUAAGUGCAUCUCUGGUGUUACUUAUAGUAUUACUUUGACAUAUGGCCUCAAAUCAGGUAGGACUACCCGCUGAACUUAAGCAUAUCAAUAAGCCGGAGGAAAGGA